CAUUAUAGACAAGUAAAGAAAAAGAAACAAAAAUCUAUAAAUGAAUCGUUUAUUGUUGAAAGGGGGUAAGCGCCAUUUUCUACUUUUCGAGACAUAGUAACAAACUCUUCUCUCCUUCUGUAUCCGUGUCAUUUGGUGUUAAAUACAGUUUUGCAGUAUAAACUACAUCCAUGCAACUCAUCAAUGUUUGCUUCCUUUCAAUACCAAAUGAUGCGGAUAUAGAAAGAGGGAAGGGUUUUUACUAUAACUCGAAAAGUAGAAAAUGGCGCUUACACCCUUUUAACAAAUAACGAUUCAAAAACAGGUUUGUGAAGAUUCUAAAAGAUAUAUGAGGGAUAGUUGAUGACAAAUCCUUGAAGACAUACAGCUGAUUUUGCUUUAUUUUUUUAAAAAUCGAUAAGCACGAUGGUGCAAUAGAAAUUGUUGAGACAAUCAGAUGGGUUUGCGAAGAUCUUCCUGAAUUAAAACUGCCAUUAGAGAACAACAUUCUUUGCAACUAUGACACUCAGAGCUAUGAUAGUAUGAAAUCAUUAUGUGAUAAGUUCAACAGAGCGAUUGACAGUGUUGUUGCUUUGGUGAGUAGAUUUUUCCCCCUGGACUCCUUAAUGAACUCAGUAAAGUAAUUACUUAUUUUUCAAACGUGAAUAAUGACUUUAUUGAAGUUAACUAUGAAUCUAUGAAGGAAACGCGAUUUCAGUUGAUUAAUAAUGAUGUCCAAUACUCGAUAAAGUAUGUUCACUUUGAACAAACUUUCUGGGUCUUGAAAAUGAUCAUAUUCGCAAAAGUUUGUCAAAAUGCUACAGUAUUUGCUUCUUUUUAUAGAAUUUUCAGUGAAAAUUCUGUAACAUAAUACAAUGGUAGUUCUCAAUUUUCUUCUUGAGUGAAAUAGCUUCAUUUCUUUCAUCUGAUUUGCAAUUUAACCGAUUUAACACAAUCGUUUUCGUUAACCCGUUUUGGGCUUUAAUAAACAGAAGUUUUAAAGAAAAAAUACCAUAAAAAAGUCCUGCCCAUUGUAGUGGUUUCAAUGGUUUUUAAUGUUAUGAAGUUAAAUACUCCCUUUUUAUCAGAUCUAAAACUUGAUAAAAGAAUUCGAUCUCUUGAUACUAUGGCCAACAAAAUUUGUUAAGAUGUUUCAGUAACAUCUUGCAUAUUAAUAACAUCUCUUAAUGCAUCAUUAAGUACUAGAUUUGAGUUAUGAGCAGCACAGUGAACAUAUACCUCAUUAGGUUAAUAUCUUUUAUGAGUUUUUUUAACUCCACCAUAAGUGCUUUUCAUUUUGUUCUAAAAUUGAUCCUCUUCUUUUGAAUGUACACAUACAGAUCCAUGGCAUACAGUUACGUCACUCAGUGGCGCACCAAUGGGGGGAGGGGAUAUACAAUCCACAUAGGUUUGCGGCACAGAAAGAGAUUUGAAAACGGCUUCAGGACUUACUAAGUGUACAGUAUGAUAAAAACGAUAGGCAAAUCGUUUCAAAGUCUAGUAGAUUUUUAUGGACUUGAUGACACAAACAUAAAAGGAGAAAUCAUACUUUAAAAACAAUUUCACAAAAGAUUUCAAAAUUAAACCGACCCCAAAAAAUGCCCUUGAAGCUCUUGAUAUUUGUAACAAGAACUUAUUUCCUCUGGUUUAUAAUUUACUGCUAAUAAUGGCCACCUUACUUGUAACAUGUGAAAGGCCACCGUACAUGUGAAAGGUCAAUUUCAUC
rnacentral:lncRNA from 1 species